rnacentral:rRNA from 1 species
AGGGCACCACCAGGAGUGGAGCCUGCGGCUUAAUUUGACUCAACACGGGAAAACUCACCCGGCCCGGACACUGGAAGGAUUGACAGAUUGAGAGCUCUUUCUUGAUUCAGUUGGUGGUGGUGCAUGGCCGUUCUUAGUUGGUGGAGUGAUUUGUCUGGUUAAUUCCGAUAACGAACGAGACUCUAGCCUACUAAAUAGAUCGUCGGCUUACAAACGCCGGCGAGACUUCUUAGAGGGACAGGCGGUGAUUCAACCGCACGAAACAGAGCAAUAACAGGUCUGUGAUGCCCUUAGAUGUCCGGGGCCGCACGCGCGCUACACUGAAGUGAUCAGCGUGCUUUUUCAACCUACUCUGUCAAGAGUGGGGAACCCAAUGAACCUUCUUCGUGAUUGGGAUAGGGGAUUGUAAUUGUUCCCCUUGAACGAGGAAUUCCCAGUAAGCGCGAGUCAUAAGCUCGCGUUGAUUACGUCCCUGCCCUUUGUACACACCGCCCGUCGCUACUACCGAUUGAAUGUUUU